CUUGUAUCUGAUGUCAUGAACUUCGAUUCUCAAAAUUUUAUGAUGAAAAAUGUAGACUCAACUUCGCAUUUCUGAUGAUCAAAAAUUAAAAUCAUUUGUUUAGUGUACUGAAGGGGAAUUUUUUUCAGAAUUUUUUUCUGUGAUCUGCUCUGAAAAUAUAUGAACAUGUUCAGAUGAUCUAUACCCCCAAAUAACCUUUAUAUUUCACCUUCGGAUAAGGGAGCUGAGGUGCGAGAUCAAUCUUUCCUGGAGAUAGUUAAGGGACUAGUUGGUGAGGUUUCUUCUAGGCAGAAACAGGGUUUAACAAUGAAGAACAUGGUGACCAUUGAUGGUGAAUUGGACUUUGCUUUUACAGUGCCAGAAGUCAAAAAGAUGGCAGAGGAAUUCGGAUUUGAAAUAUUUAUUUAUAUGCUAUGAUUCUUUAUUGGGUUAAAUCUACCAAUAGCCACUCAACUUUAUACUUCGUGUCAUCAUGAUCACUUAUUUUGAUUUUGUUUCAGCAUGAUCAUUCAGCUAUAUAUUUAAUGUUACUAUAACCGCUCAACUUUAUACUUCAUAUCACCAUGGCCACCCAAUUUAAUUUUAUUUCAGUAUGACCAUCCAACUUAUACUUAAUGUUAUUAUCAUCACCAAACUUGAUUUUAUUAACAAUGGUCACCAAUUUUAUAUAAUAUUUUACCAAAGCCGUCCAACUCUUCUUAUUAUUUUUUUUGAACUCUUUUUGUUAAUUUUAAAAAGCAUAAAAAUGGUA
rnacentral:lncRNA from 1 species